CCUACGGGUGGCAGCAGUGAGGAAUAUUGGUCAAUGGACGAGAGUCUGAACCAGCCAAGCAGCGUGAAGGAUGACUGUCCUAUGGGUUGUAAACUUCUUUUAUAUGGGAAUAAAAUGUUCCACGUGUGGGUUUUUGUAUGUACUAUAUGAAUAAGGAUCGGCUAACUCCGUGCCAGCAGCCGCGGUAAUACGGAGGAUCCGAGCGUUAUCCGGAUUUAUUGGGUUUAAAGGGAGCGUAGGUGGAUUGUUAAGUCAGUUGUGAAAGUUUGCGGCUCAACCGUAAAAUUGCAGUUGAAACUGGCAGUCUUGAGUGCAGUAGAGGUGAGCGGAAUUCGUGGUGUAGCGGUGAAAUGCUUAGAUAUCACGAAGAACUCCGAUUGCGAAGGCAGCUCACUGGACUGCAACUGACGCUGAGGCUCGAAAGUGUGGGUAUCAAACAGGAUUAGAUACCCUUGUAGUC
rnacentral:rRNA from 1 species